GCGCGCGCGCGCGGCGGCCCCAGGUACGCGGACAAGAUGGCGGCGGCAGCGGUCGACAGCGCGAUGGAAGUGGUGCCGGCGCUGGCGGAGGAGGCCGCGCCUGAGGCAGCGGGCCUCAGCUGCCUCGUCAACCUGCCCGGCGAGGUGCUGGAGUACAUCCUGUGCAGCGGCUCGCUGACGGCCGCCGACAUCGGCCGCGUCUCCAGCACCUGCCGGCGGCUGCGCGAGCUGUGCCAGAGUAGCGGGAAGGUGUGGAAGGAGCAGUUCCGGGUGAGGUGGCCUUCCCUUAUGAAACACUACAGCCCCACCGACUACGUCAAUUGGUUGGAGGAGUAUAAAGUUCGGCAAAAAGCUGGGUUAGAGGCCCGGAAGAUUGUAGCCUCCUUCUCAAAGAGGUUCUUUUCAGAGCACGUCCCUUGUAACGGUUUUAGUGACAUUGAGAAUCUUGAGGGACCAGAGAUAUUUUUUGAGGAUGAACUGGUGUGUAUCCUAAAUAUGGAAGGAAGAAAAGCUUUGACCUGGAAAUACUACGCCAAAAAAAUUCUUUAUUACCUACGACAACAGAAAAUUUUAAAUAAUCUUAAGGCUUUUCUUCAGCAGCCUGAUGACUAUGAAUCAUAUCUUGAAGGUGCAGUGUAUAUUGACCAGUACUGCAAUCCUCUCUCCGACAUCAGCCUCAGAGACAUUCAGGCCCAGAUUGACAGCAUCGUGGAGCUUGUUUGCAAAACCCUCCGGGGCAUAAAUAGUCGCCACCCCAGCUUGGCCUUCAAGGCAGGUGAAUCCUCCAUGAUAAUGGAAAUAGAACUCCAGAGCCAGGUGCUGGAUGCCAUGAACUACGUCCUUUAUGACCAACUGAAGUUCAAGGGGAACCGAAUGGAUUACUAUAAUGCCCUAAACUUAUAUAUGCACCAGGUUUUAAUCCGCAGAACUGGAAUCCCAAUCAGCAUGUCUCUGCUCUACCUGACCAUUGCCCGGCAGUUGGGGGUCCCACUGGAGCCUGUCAACUUCCCCAGUCACUUCUUACUAAGGUGGUGCCAAGGUGCAGAAGGGGCAACCCUGGACAUCUUUGACUACAUCUACAUAGAUGCCUUUGGGAAAGGCAAGCAGCUGACAGUGAAAGAAUGUGAAUACCUGAUCGGCCAGCAUGUGACUGCAGCGCUGUAUGGGGUGGUGAAUGUAAAGAAGGUGUUACAGCGAAUGGUGGGAAACCUUUUAAGCCUGGGAAAGCGGGAAGGCAUCGACCAGUCGUACCAGCUCCUGAGGGACUCCCUGGAUCUGUACCUGGCGAUGUACCCGGACCAGGUGCAGCUCCUCCUUCUCCAAGCCAGGCUCUACUUCCACCUGGGCAUCUGGCCAGAGAAGUCUUUCUGUCUUGUCUUGAAGGUGCUUGACAUCCUCCAGCACAUCCAAACCCUAGACCCCGGGCAGCACGGGGCGGUGGGCUAUCUGGUGCAGCACACGCUGGAGCACAUUGAGCGGAAGAAGGAGGAGGUGGGCGUGGAGGUGAAGCUCCGCUCCCACGAGAAGCACAGAGACGUCUGCUAUGCCAUUGGGCUCAUUAUGAAGCAUAAGAGGUAUGGCUAUAACUGUGUCAUCUAUGGCUGGGACCCCACCUGCAUGAUGGGACAUGAGUGGAUUCGAAACAUGAACGUCCACAGCCUGCCUCACGGCCAUCAUCAGCCUUUCUAUAAUGUGCUGGUGGAGGACGGGUCCUGUAGGUAUGCUGCCCAAGGAGGCGACGCAGAAUGGGCGCACGCAGAGAGCCAGAAUAGAGCGGCCGCCGCGCAAGAUGGCCCAGGGAUCCUGCCAGCUGGCUGCACGCCCCAGGCUCGGCUGUCCCCUCCGAGGAACUCGUGUCACAUUUGGGAAAGAGAGAGAGAGCACAGAUUGAAGGCUGGGGGAGAUCUGUCCACACCCACUGCACCUCCUGAUCUGGAGAUCUUUCUGCGAUCAGCUCUCUCUCCACCUGCAGAAGCCUUGCAUCUGCGGGGGACCUGCUUGUUCGCCUGGAGACGCUGCCUCGCUGUCAUCGUUUUAUUUUAAAUGGAAGUGCCCCUCCCCCUCGGUGGCCCAGGGAUGGGCGGGGUUCAGACGGCUGGGAUUCGGCCAUACAUUGCUGCCUUGUGGAAUGUGCCACAAAUCCACCAGAACAGAACAGGCUGGGAAAGUCACAGGAGAGAGGCUGUGUCUUACGACACGCUCUCUUUGGGAUAGUGUUUGCUGAACAAACCUGGGCUUCCUUGGCUCCAGUAAGUGACUCAGAGAACGAGGACAUGGUUCCUCGCCUGCACAGACCAGGACAGGCUAUGCCUCCCUUGGGCCUAGAACCAUCCAGGUCUCGGGAACGCCCUGCCAUCUCCCCAUUGGUGGCAGUGUCAGGCCAAAGAGGAGACAGUAGACUCAUGGGUGAAUCAGAGGGGUCUUAGGAGGGAAAUCGGCUGUGUGGCCUCCCACCCUGUGCUGGGGAAGUGUCCGGAGGAAAACGGGGACCCCCCCCCUCGGGAGGGGUCUGCUGAAUCCCGAAAUUGAAUGAAGGGCUCACCACCCCUUCUUUUACUCCUCAUGUUUCAUCCACCACCAGGUCCUGCAGAGGGUACCUGGGUGCAUCCCCGCUGCCACCAGCCUGGUCCAGGCCCCUGCUGCCUCCUGCCUUGAAAGUUCAGCUGCGUCCAAGGUGAUCUUUCUAAAUUCACUCCAAAUUCAACAGAGAGCAUCUCACAUGCCUACAAGCCACAGCUGCGGGCACCAGCAGCACAGAGCAUCUUCAGUUGCCCCACGUUUGUGGAGAAAGCAAACCCCGAGAGCCAGGUGCUUCUGGUGAGGCUGCCUGGAGCAAUAACGACCAAGCUUUGGUUGUCCGCAGUAAAUGGGGAAGGGGCAGUCCCCGUUGUUGCCAUCAGUAUUUCUUGAGCACCUACUAUGUGCACGGCCCUAUGCUGGGAGGAUGGAGGCCAGAAAAGGCACCCGGGCUAUGAGGCCAUGUCAGGAUUUGAGCAGUAUAAUACAAUCAUCUCUCCCACACACUGCGAGCCCUCCGUGGGCCAGCCCUGCGUGCACGUCUCUCUGACCCUCACGGCAACCCUGCAGGCCCCAGGUUUUCCCAGAGCUGCACACUGAACUGUGUCAUCUGUCUGCACUGCUUCCUUCCUGGCUGAAUUCUUGCUACCUGCCAGGCUCAAGACUCUUACAGAGAACUUUCAACGCACCCCACUGGUUCUGCAUCCCGGCUCCUGUUACCCUCACUCUGUAUCUUUCCAGAGAGGGAAGUGGGCAGUGCAAGGUGAGGACAGGGAGGGAGGACUUCCCAGAAAGGAGAGUUUAGGACUGGUCGCUGGAUGAUACACCAGUAUGAGAUGGGAAAGCUUGUGAGGUGAGGGGAAUUCAUUCUAGUCCAGCAAGUAAACUAGCAGCUGGGCACACUGUUCCCUCUCCCUCAACCCCCUGAGCAGCUUCAACCCCUAUUGGGAGCAUCACAUUUGAGACGCUCUGCUUCCAUCAUCUUUGCAGGGUGUGAUGAGGCCAGAAAUGGAGUGAGGAGCCCCCUUGAUAACUGGGAACCUCCAGACUGGAGGGGCCGCGAAGAGGCUGCACCCUGGGGGUCGUGUCUCUGCUUUCUCUGGUCCUCACUCCCUCCUGGAGCCAGCAAUAGGCACUGGCCCUGCAGUGAGUUCAACCGAGUGUGGUCUCCCCUCGCAGAUGUGAAAAACAUGUGGGAAACGCCUGGAUCCAGUCCUCAGAUGGUGCUUCACCACACUCGGGUUAUUCCAUAAUGUGUAUGGGGUUGGGGGCUAGGGGAGUAGGUGGAGGUCAGUGUAUUCUGAUUCUCCUGGACACCUCCCCCUGGUGAGGACAUCAGCCGAGCCUCAGCGUCCGAGGGAGACUCGUUCAUGCAACCAAACAACCAGCAUGAGUCCCCAGAGGAUCUGUGCCGAAGAUGAUACCCCAAGAGGUCGGUGGGGAGACCCAGGAAAAGAUGUGAGCGUUCCCAGCCUUGGCACAUCUUGGACAUCACUUGGUCUUGGAGGGGGCUGCCUCAUCCAGGGGGCUGAAGGUGGCCCCCCACCCUGGUGGGGCCAGUAGGGGAAGGUGAGGGACCGUGCCUUCCGAAAAGCCAUGUCAUUUAAUCCUCAUGCUACUCUUCAGAGUGGAUGCCGUUAUUAUCAACCCGCUUUACAGAUGAAGAAACUGAGGCUCAGCGACGGGGCACUCCAGGUCUCAAGGGGGCAAGAAACAGAUGGCAGAGGAAGAUGGCCAUCCCCCCCACCGGGGGGGAUGGAGUGGGCUGAUUUUCGUUGGGUCACAGGUUCAGAGAGGCUGGGAGCCCCACGGGCCUGGAUGGUGUCUGAUUCCACCCCCGCAUGCCCUAGGGGGCAGCAGAGCGUCAUAACUGCUCGCGCUUUGCAGUGGACCAGACUCAGGUUCAAGCUAAGCUUCUGUUACUAACCAGCGUGGGCUGGUCAUUUAGCCUGGAGGCGGGGGCCUCCGUUUCCUGUGGUUGGACGGAGAGACGAGGACCUCCGCGGAGCGUGCCUGCUCAUCACUACGUCAGGAGAAGCGCAGACCCUGGAAGGCUCAUCUGCGCUGCUCCAACACCCUGUUUAAGGUCUAGUCACCUUCACAGCAGCGCAGCAUCCUCGAAUCUGUGGGUAUCCUGGUUACCCAGAGGUAAAGAGAAGCAGAGUGACUUCCCCGUGGUCACGUGACCUGUAAGCGGCAGAGGCAGGAUUUGAACCCAGGUCUUUCAGCUGCACUGUGACCACGGCACUGUACCUGCCUCCGAAAUCACUCACACACAGCUCGACACACACAAUGCACGCCCCUGUUUGCUGUUAGUACUGAAGGGCUGCGCGCAGGUUCAAUCGAUGGAAGUGAUCAUUGCUGAUAUUACAACAUUAUCUACAACUUUCCCUGGGGCGGAAGGUGCGCCCACCCCAGAGACUCUUCGAACAUUCUGCCUACAAGAAAGAAGUAUUUAACCAGCGUCCGGCAGGCUGUGAGUUUAUAAGUGAUUUAUAAAAAGCCUGCUGAAGUCUAGAGACUUCUAACAGGCGGAGGUGUGUUCUCCAGACUAAGAAUAGCUGCUGAGGCCUGACGGGAGAUGCUUUCUGGUGACAUAAGAGCAGAGUAGCUUGGGGGGAUGUGGGUUUUCUCCAGCUCGGUAACAGCUGCCGGUACAGCGUCACCGCCUUUCCCCCUCAGAGGGAUGCACUGAGCCGAAGGAAUUCGUUGAAGGUGUAGGAACGGGGCCAGGUGACCCCCAAGGUGGGGUUUCUGAUCUGUUACUUCUCCACCGCCUCACCACCCCCAGUUUUCUGGACGCUGGACGCCGGACCAGUAAGAUGGGGAUAGAGAGCAGGGGUCAGCAGGGGAGAGGGCGGACGGUCCCUGGCCAGCUCUGGAUUUAGAUGCUCCCGGGCAGUGAGAGGGCACAGGUGCCUCUGUCCUGCUGGCCCCGGCCUCACCGGCACCUGAGGGGCCUCUGACACAUGCAGACCCCAGCCCACUGCACCAGUCGCUCUGGGGGACUCUUAUACACACCCGAGUGUGGGAACUCCUGCCGUUUAAGGGAAGCAGAACUCCGGUCCAGAACUUGCUCCGAGUCCCGGCAGGUAACUGCUGACUUUUUCUGAAAUUAAUAAAUUCUGGGGAGAGAUUAAGUACAAA